GACGAACGCCGGCGGCGUGCUUAACACAUGCAAGUCGUACGGUAAGGCCCUUUCGGGGGUACACGAGUGGCGAACGGGUGAGUAACACGUGAGUAACCUGCCCACAACUUUGGGAUAACGCUAGGAAACUGGUGCUAAUACUGGAUAUGUGCUCCUGCUGCAUGGUGGGGGUUGGAAAGCUCCGGCGGUUGUGGAUGGACUCGCGGCCUAUCAGCUUGUUGGUGGGGUAGUGGCCUACCAAGGCGGCGACGGGUAGCCGGCCUGAGAGGGUGACCGGCCACAUUGGGACUGAGAUACGGCCCAGACUCCUACGGGAGGCAGCAGUGGGGAAUAUUGCACAAUGGGCGCAAGCCUGAUGCAGCAACGCCGCGUGCGGGAUGACGGCCUUCGGGUUGUAAACCGCUUUCAGCAGGGACGAAGCUUUUUGUGACGGUACCUGCAGAAGAAGCACCGGCUAACUACGUG
rnacentral:rRNA from 1 species